AGGCAUUUUCAUUGGAGACCACUGUACUAAACUAUGCUACAAACAGUUCAAGAGGGUGAGAUUGCUGGUAGGAGUGAAAGGGCACUAAUAAGGUAAUUCCAAACAUUUGCUAUUUUGGGGUCACUUGCUAGAAUUUAGAAGAGAAGCACUUUCUAAGACUGCACCUGGAGAGCAUAGUAGAAGAUCUGUGGAGAAAGUUCCAGGAUGUACUCAAGAAUUACACUGAUGCCACAGAGGAUCGAAAGGCUGCCUUUGAGACCCUGCAGGUGAAGGAUGAGAAGAGCUCCAAAGAGAUUGAAGUACAGAUGAAAAAAAUACAGAAACUACAGGAUGCCAUAACUAUUUCAAAAGACAAGAUCAUGAUACACAGCCGUGAGAGUGAAGAUGAGAACCGGUAUAUCCGUAAUGACAAGGAAUUGGUCCUUGUACAACUGCGAAAACUUAAGGCCCAAAGGACUCAGGCCCGGGCAGCAUCCCAGAAGAACUUAGUCAAACUUACUCUGGAAAGUAAUGCCACCCUCAAGGCCCUGAGAAAGAUUGUUGAUAAGGGUGAAAAGAUCCUUAAACUUGCUGAAAUAUGUA
rnacentral:sRNA from 1 species